rnacentral:lncRNA from 1 species
CAAAUUUCAGGGGCUCCUGCAGCUGAGACAUGGACCCUACUUUACGCCAAGCAGAGGGCCGUGGGGUUCCCUCGUGUGACUGUGAGGUUUGCUGGAGACUGCGAGCCUGCCAGUGUGGCCUCUGCCCUGCCUGGUGCCCAUCCUGUCUCCGAUCCACCUGCACGCCGCAUCCUGGAUCCUCAUCUCCCGCACCCAUGGAUUUCAGCAUCCAGUGUUUCUUGGCGUUCCCUCUCACAGGCCCAGUUCCUCAUGGACGUGAGACCUUCCCACCCAGCGUCUCCCCGAACACGGCCGGUAGUGUUCAGCCUUUCACCACUCCUUCUCUGCCACUCGACUUCUUGCCAGCUGGUGUCCAGUUACAUUUUGGCAAAGGUGGUCACCGGGCAGACCUGGAGAGAGGGAAGACAUGGAAGCCCUCUCUGCCCUCUGCAGUGGCAUCGUGAGACGUGGUCUCUGAAUAACAGAAGAUCUUCUUCAGAAACCUCAAGCUCCGAUGAUGCCUUCAGACCCAUGAAGAUGGAGUGUGAAAUUCCAUGAAUAUCGAGUCUAUUUUCUGGACCCCAGAGCUGUGCGUCUUCCUCUCUGUCGGGCUCAUUCUGAAGCACAGUCCCAGCAUCCAUAUGGCAGAUGCAGCAUCCACGUGGCAGAUGCUUCCUGGACACUCUUAACAGCAUCCACAUGGCAGACGCUUCCUGGACACUCUUAACAGUCACAGGACACUUGGGCUAGUCAGGACACAGAGGACACAGCAGGCUGCAGCUGCAGAGCUUGAAAAGAUUUAUUUUAAAAGCCCAAGGGGAUAAAUACAGCAUCUCUCACAUUACUCCAUACUUAAAAAUAUUUGGAUUAAUUAUAUUAAAAAUUUGCAUUCAAAAGCGUU